UGACUCCAGCAGAGUAUCCUUUCGAUUUCGCGCGCUAAGCAGGAACCGAGACUUUGUCAUUUGCUAGCAGUCAGGUACCUGAAGUAGCGCGCGUGAUCAAACAGGAAGCGUCAUCAAGCGACA
rnacentral:pre_miRNA from 11 species